rnacentral:sRNA from 1 species
GCUGGGUGUAGUGGCGCACACCUGUAAUCUCAGUGACUUGGGAGGUUGAGGCAGGAGGAUUGCAAGUUCAAGACCAGCCUGGGAAAGUUAGCAAGACCCUGACUCAA